AUGUUAGCCUCUAGGGGUUUUGGGGCUAAGUGGAUUAGUUGGAACUUGUCCAUUCUGCAACAAAGCUCUUUUUGUGUUAAAAUCAAUGAUGUCUUAGGUCCUUAUUUUGUGGGAGGGAAAGGGUUGAAAUAAGGAGACCCGAGCUCCCCCAUGCUAUUCAAUCUUGUGGCGGAUGUGUUCUCUCGUAUGUUGGUUAAAGCUGUUAAUAAUAACAUCAUUUCAGGGAUUGUUCCACAUAUCAUUCCCCAUGGGCUUAUUUGUUUGCAAUAUGCCAAUGAUACAAUAUUGUUUCUAGAUCCUAAACCUGAGUAUGUAAAAAAAUAUAAAUGGUUACUUGCGUGUUUUGAGAACCUUUCUGGUUUGAAAAUCAAUUAUGACAAGUGUGAAGUGGUGCCAGUUAAUCUAAAUCAAUGUGAUGCUAAGUUGUUAUCUCAAAUAUUUUGUUGCAAAUUGGGGGAUUUCCCUCUUAAAUAUCUGGGAGUUCCAUUACAUUAUCUCAAACUGAGGAGGGAAGAUAUCCAAUAUAUUAUAGACAAAAUUAUUAAGAGGAUUUUUGGUUGGAAAGGGAGAUUACUCAGCUAUGAGGCGAAGUUGGUUCUGCUCAAAGCUUGCAUUACCAGUAUUCCUAUGUACCUAAUGUCUGUGAUUAAGUUUCCUAAGUGGGCCAUUAAAGCUAUUACCUCUCAGAUGACGCAUUUCUUUUGGGGGGACUGGGAGACGAGCAUAAAUACUAUCUUGCAAACUGGGGGCUGA
rnacentral:rRNA from 1 species